rnacentral:rRNA from 1 species
CAAUAGCGUAUAUUAAAGUUGUUGCAGUUAAAAGCUCGUAGUUGGAUUUCUGGGAGGGUGCCAAUGUCCGUCGUCGUACGUGUUGCAGCGGCGCCCUUCCAUCCUUCUGUUAACGACUUUGGGCAUUCACUUGCCGGAGUCGGGCUCAGAUAUUUUACCUUGAGAAAAUUAGAGUGUUUCAGGCAGGCUAGGCCGGAAUACAUUAGCAUGGAAUAAUGGAAUAGGACUACGGUCUCUUUGUUGGUUUGAGGGACUGCAGUAAUGAUUAAUAGGGAUAGUUGGGGCGAUUAUAUUUAACUUGUCAGAGGUGGAAAUUACUUGGUAUUUGUUUAAAGUAACGGACUACUGCGAAAGACAUUUGUCCAAGGAAUGUUUUCUAUUGAUCAAGAACGAAAGUUAAGGGGAGUCGAAGACGAUCAGAUACCGU